rfam:Gossypium hirsutum cultivar TM-1 chromosome 22, whole genome shotgun sequence
GCCUCCUAAAGAGUAAUGGAGGUGUGCAAAGGUAGGCUCAAGCUAAGAUUUUGCCUGUGAGCGUAAUAGUGUAAGCCUGCUUGACUAUGAGACCGACUGGUUGAACAUAGACGAAAGUCGGACAUAUUGAUCCGGAAGUCCUGUGUGGAAGGGCUCUCACUCAAU